rnacentral:sRNA from 1 species
GGAAGCGGAUAGGGUGGAGUGUAGGUCAUAUCGACGCGAUAUCUCUUCCAAAUGCUUGAUGAAAAAGGUGGGAGGAUCACUUGAGCCAGGGAGUUGAAGGCUGGAGUGAGCCCUGUUUUGCCACCACACUCCAGCUUGG